GGCUUAGUGGGUUAGUGGGUUAGCGCAUUAGCCUCACACCUCCAGGGUCCGGGGUUCGAUUCCCGCCGGGGCCA